UGCGUAGGCGGCUUUUUUAAGUUUGGUGUGAAAUCUCCCGGCUCAACCGGGAGGGUGCGCCGAAUACUGAGAGGCUAGAGUGUCGGAGAGGUAAGUGGAGUUCCUGGUGUAGCGGUGAAAUGCGUAGAUAUCAGGAGGAACACCGGUGGUGUAAACGGCUUACUGGACGAUAACUGACGCUGAUGCACGAAAGCGUGGGUAGCAAACAGGAUUAGAUACCCUGGUAGUCCACGCCCUAAACGAUGCAUAUUUGGUGUGGGCCAUUCAUUUGGUCUGUGCCGGAGCUAACGCGUUAAAUAUGCCGCCUGGGGAGUACAGUCGCAAGGCUGAA
rnacentral:rRNA from 1 species